GGUGCAAGUUGUUCUACCGCCGCGGGGUCACACUCGUGGAGGAAAGUCCGGGCAACACAGGGUAAUCCGCCGCCUGAAAAGGUGGGUACGAAAACAGAAAUGGUUUUGUAACAGAAAGUGCCACAGAAAACGAAGUAGCCACGAGCUUGUCUCGGGGUGAUAGUGAAAAUGUGAGGUAAGAGCUCACAAGCAGAAGCAGUAAUGCUUUUGUUGGGUAAACCUCGGAUGUUGAAAGGCCAAAUAGAUUGCGGAUGUAAGGCGACCCGUCUUAUUUCAGAAAUGAAAGCCGCAAUGGGUAGGUCGCAUAGAUAAAUGGUAGAUAUAUUGUUCGGCAACGGAUAAUGAAACAGAACCCGGCUUACAAACUUGCAUAGUGA
rnacentral:RNase_P_RNA from 1 species